UGGGGAAUAUUGCGCAAUGGGGGCAACCCUGACGCAGCAAUACCGCGUGAGUGAUGAAGGUCGUAAGAUCGUAAAACUCUUUUCAGGGAUCUUAAAGCCUGUCUGUCAACAACAGGCAGGUCUGACUCCCCCUGGAAGAAGCCCCAGCCAACUACGCGCCAGCAGCCGCGGUAAUACGUAGGUGGCGAGCGUUAUCCGGAAUUACUGGGCGUAAAGCGCACGCAGGCGGCUCAUUAAGUCUGACGUGAAAGCUCCUGGCUUAACUGGGAGAGGUCGUUGGAGACUGGUGGGCUUGAGGUAAGGAGAGGGGUGCAGAAUUCCCGGUGUAGUGGUGGAAUGCGUAGAUAUCGGGAGGAAUACCAGUGGCGCAAGCGGCGCCCUAGCCUUGACCUGACGCUCAUGUGCGAAAGCGUGGGGAGCAAACA
rnacentral:rRNA from 1 species